UAUAUUUUGUUGUAUGAUGCAUAUAGAAUUUUGAUUUCUAAGGAUUUAGUUUAAAUCUAAAAAAUAUAA
rnacentral:tRNA from 1 species